AGAGCGAACGCUGGCGGCAGGCCUAACACAUGCAAGUCGAACGGACCCUUCGGGGUUAGUGGCGGACGGGUGAGUAACACGUGGGAACGUGCCUUUUGGUUCGGAAUAGCUCCUGGCAACGGGUGGUAAUGCCGAAUGUGCCCUUCGGGGGAAAGAUUUAUCGCCAUUAGAGCGGCCCGCGUCUGAUUAGCUAGUUGGUAGAGUAGUG
rnacentral:rRNA from 1 species